AGCACCAGAGUGCCCAGGGGCAGCUCUGGCUCCAUGUUGCAGAGUGCUGUGGUAUCCCGAGUGAAGACAACCAGACACCUCAGACACAAAUGCUUUGCUGUCCCUCAUCGAGGUUCAUUGUAGUAAGCAUAGAAGGAUGUUGCCUAUUGAUGUGUGUGGAAAGACAGCUGCUUGUGACAAUGGGCUUUGUGGCAGGCUCUUACAUGGCGGAAUGUGCACACCCAAUUUGGGAGACAUGCAUCCCUCCCCCUGCUGUGCCAGAUGCAUUGGCCAUGGACAGCGCUUUUUACCUGGCUCCAGGUUGCUGCGGUGAGAGAUGGUUGGAAAUGUUCUCUUCCCCCAGGGCAGCCUGUAUACUGAACCCCUCAUCUGCACUCCCACCCCAGAGCAAUGAUUUAAAUGAAGAAAAACAAAAAUUAUUUGAGUUAAGGAUCUGCACAACACCGGGUAAAUCUUCUAGUAAUAUAUAAGCUUUACUGCACAAAAACUACAAAUAUAGUAUCCUCUUCAACCAAGAGUGGGCAGAAUUCAUCCUUGGACUGAACAUGACUGAUGGAGUUCUGCAGUAUGGUCCAUACCUGCCUUCAUCUUCAAUGCCAAGAUACAGAGACAGAUAUUUGGGUCUAAUUGUGUCCAUAUGGUUUCUUAUCAUUUUGUUGCAUAAAGAAAAAAGAUACCCCACCACUGAUGAGUAGAUAAGAAAUUCUGCAGAAGGCAUUAGGGAACAACUUGAGAACAGUUUGGGUAACUCUGCCCUAAAAUCUAGCACUUGAUCUAAUACUGGGUUAUGAAUCAGAAUGAAAUUCAUACCACUUUUAAUUAUGGAAAUGUAUUCUAGAUUCACUUGUACCGGGGUGCAUGCUGGGAGGCUGCUGCUGCUUAGUUACUAUUUGUAAGUUCACACUGUUUCAUUUACAAGUGCUGUAUCAGAAUAUAUUUGCCCAUGACCUGGAUAAAUCACAAACAUCUCCUAUCUAGAUGGAGUGUUCUAUGAUUCCGUGCAUCUGCUUCUGACAAAUAAAAUAUGUCAGCUAAAACAUUGAAUUCAAAUGUAAUACCUUACAAACAUUUAAAAACCCUUUAAAUGAAGGACGUCACUUAAUCGCUAGUGCCUCUGCUCCCCAUCUGUAAAAUGGAGACAAUACUUCCCCUUUGCCAUUGCUGCCUCAUUUAUUUAUAUUGUAGGAUCUACAGGACAGGGACUGCCUUCCACUCUGUGUAUAUACCAUGAUGCCUAAUACAAUAGGGCCUUGAUUUGAGUUGAGGUAUGCAGGAGCUAAAGUAAUAAUAAUGGUACUACUGUUUUAAAUAUGCAAAAAUCUGCAACCAAAGGUAAUUAUGGUAAUAGAACUUUACAGCUGAGAUUUUAAUCACACAGAAGCUAAGAAAUUCAUGUGUGUGGUUACCCAGUGUUGUAAAUUGUCUGUCUCCUGGGUUAAUAGAAUUUUCUUUCUGUAUGUUACAUUAACACUAAUAGCUUAGGUUCAAAUUCUGCUCUUGGUUAGGCAGGCAUGACUCCCUAUUCACUCAGUGACACUGCACAUGGUAAUAAACACUACAAGGUGUUUUGUCAGCAGGAUGAGGCCUUACUUUGCCAGCUGUAACUAGCUAAAAAUUUUAAAUGGGAUUUUCUACUAGACAAGGGUGACUGGAAGCAAAAGUGAAACUGGUGACAUUGUUGACAUUGUCCACACUGAUGAAAUAUGGGGAAAAUGGCAUCCAUGUUAAAAAUGACAUUCAUUUUUAAUAAUGUAAGAUAUUAUCAGUAAAGCAAGGAAAAAUUGUAUUUAACAUUAUUUUUAACCAUAUAAUAGCCUUUUAAAAAAAGUGGGGGAGGGACCUAUGCAUUAAUUUACUUAUGCAAUCUACCAUGGCUAUCACUGAGUAAAGGUAAAAUGCAUAUAUGCAUUUAUUUGAAUGUGUGAGCUAACAAUUAUGCUUCCAAAUAAAGGCACCAUCACCUUGAGAGUGCCAGAGCAUUGAUGCUCCAUGACCCUGGCUUCAUAAUUGCUUAUUUGCAUGUUUAAUCA